GACGAACGCUGGCGGCGUGCCUAAUACAUGCAAGUCGAGCGAAUCUUUGGGAGCUUGCUCCUAAAGGUUAGCGGCGGACGGGUGAGUAACACGUGGGCAACCUGCCUAUAAGACUGGGAU
rnacentral:rRNA from 1 species